CCAACCCUCCUACCUCACGGAUUGCGGCGCCGCCGACGAGUCACCGAGCGAGAUGGCGAGCUCGGCGCUGAGGCGAUCUCUUCCACGGCGCGGCUCGCUCCGCCGCCUCCUCCCUUCCCACCCACCACCCGCCGCCACCUCCUCGUUCCGUCGCUCCUUCCAGUCCGAAGAGGGCGCGGCGGGCGAGAGCACGGAGGACUUUGAAAAGCGGAUGUUUGGGAACCAGAGGGAGCCGGAUGCCAACUCGUUCUUCGGGAAGCUCGAUGGGGUUGGGAGCUCCUUCGGAGGAAGACAUGGCACCGGCUCUGGGAUGGGUGCCUUCAGUCAGCAGGGUGGGAUGGGUAACUUGUUUGGUGAGAGGAGUGUUCAUGGGAUCAUGGAUGGUUUCGACUCCUUGAACGAUGGCAUGAACGAGAAGUUGGACGACGCGGCCCGCACCUUUCACAUGACGGAUGAGGUUGAGGACGAUGACUAUGAUUUCAGGCCAGAUGUGAAUUACAGGCGAGGCUCGACUUACAAUGUCCGGGAUCUUGACCUAACAAAACCUGCAGCCCCAAGGAAUCCUCCUAGACCUCAGUUUGAAACAUCUACAAAGGAAGUUUUAAGGAAAGCUGAUUUUAGGAAUGUUAGAUUCCUUGCCAACUUUAUUACAGAGGCUGGCAUUAUCAUCAAGAGGAAUCAGACCAAGAUAAGUGCAAAAGCUCAGCGCAAGGUGGCGAGAGAGAUUAAAACAGCGCGUGCACUGGGGCUGAUGCCUUUCACGACGAUGGGCAAGAGACCAUUCAUCUUUGGCAGAAGUGCGGAGGAGGAUGCUUCAGAAGAGGAAUAUGGGUAUGAUUUUGUCCAGAAGGAUGCUGGACCUGAAGAUACUGCUGGCGAUGCUGUGCCCGAUGUGGAGACUGCGUAAACAAUCUGGAGUAGUAGGAACUAUGGUGACUUGUGGAUCUAUCACUGAUUUACCAAAUUUUUGAUGUUUUCGCUCUUUAUGAGGGUAAGCUUACUCCAGAUGUGGAAGAUCAGUUGGAGAGAACGUGGUUCCCAAGUUAGCAACACUGUAGACGUCAAAUAUGAUUAUGCUGCAGUUUCAACUACGUCUGAACAACAGUAGAUAUGUGUUUUUCAUAUGUACUCUACUCCCGAAGUGUAAAAAUAGCAUCGAUCAGAAUAUCAGGAGCCCCAGCUUGCACGGUUGUGUAUCAUUGCCUGCUAAUCGACGUUCGUAUGUGGUUGUUCCUGAUCAAAACUUCCUGAUCAUAUCUUGUACAGGAAGGAAAAAUGUAUAUCAGUUCCCUCAUCAACUCUUUGUGCUCUAGUUUUUGGGAACCUCCAACAGCCUAUACCUCCUCCUGCACCUGGAAAGACCGUAGCCUAUGUAACUGGACGGGGAUAUAUUGAGACUGCAUCUGCUUCA